CAGGGAUUGCCCCAGUAGCGGCGAGUGAAGCGGCAAGAGCUCAGAUUUGAAAUCGUGUUUCGGCACGAGUUGUAGAGUGUAGGCGGGAGUCUCUGUGGAGCGCGGUGUCCAAGUCCCUUGGAACAGGGUGCCUGAGAGGGUGAGAGCCCCGUAGGGUGCUGCGCGAAGCUUUUGAGGCCCUGCUGACGAGUCGAGUUGUUUGGGAAUGCAGCUCCAAGCGGGUGGUAAAUUCCAUCUAAGGCUAAAUAUUGGCGAGAGACCGAUAGCGAACAAGUACUGUGAAGGAAAGAUGAAAAGCACUUUGAAAAGAGAGUGAAACAGCACGUGAAAUUGUUGAAAGGGAAGGGUAUUGGGCUCGACAUGGGGGGUGCGCACCGCUGUCUCUUGUAGGCGGCGCUCUGGGCGCCCUCUGGGCCAGCAUCGGUUCCUGCUGCGGGAGAAGGGGCUCCGGAAAGUGGCUCUUCGGAGUGUUAUAGCCGGGGCCAGAUGCCGCGUGUGGGGACCGAGGACUGCGGCUUCUGUCUCGGAUGCUGGCAUAACGGCGCAAUACCGCCCGUCUUG
rnacentral:rRNA from 1 species